rnacentral:rRNA from 1 species
UACGUAGGGUGCAAGCGUUGUUCGGAAUCAUUGGGCGUAAAGCGCGUGUAGGUGGCUAGUUAAGUUGGGUGUGAAAUCCCUGGGCUCAACCGAGGAAGUGCACUCAAAACUGGCUGGCUAGAAGAUAGUAGAGGAUGGUGGAAUUCCAAGUGUAGAGGUGAAAUUCGUAGAUAUUUGGAGGAAUACCGGCGGCGAAGGCGGCCAUCUGGGCUAUUCUUGACACUGAGACGCGAAAGCGUGGGUAGCAAACAGG